GUCCACGCCGUAAACGAUGUCUACUAGCCGUUGGGGGGCUUGACCCCUUAGUGGCGAAGCUAACGCGAUAAGUAGACCGCCUGGGGAGUACGGUCGCAAGAUUAAAACUCAAAUGAAUUGACGGGGGCCCGCACAAGCGGUGGAGCAUGUGGUUUAAUUCGAUGCAACGCGAAAAACCUUACCAGGCCUUGACAUCCUGAGAACUUUCUAGAGAUAGAUUGGUGCCUUCGGGAACUCAGUGAC
rnacentral:rRNA from 1 species